rnacentral:rRNA from 1 species
GACGAACGCUGGCGGCGCGCUUAACACAUGCAAGUCGAACGGAAAGGCCUGCUUUCCCUUGUGGAUUGCGGGUACUCGAGUGGCGAACGGGUGAGUAACACGUGAGUGAUCUGCCCCCAACUUGGGUAUAAGCCUGGGAAACUGGGUCUAAUUCCCGAUAGGACUGCAGGGUGGUGCCUGUGGUGGAAAACGAUUUUCUAGUGGUUGGGGAUGAGCUCGCGGCCUAUCAGCUUGUUGGUGGGGUAAUGGCCUACCAAGGCGGCGACGGGUAGCCGGCCUGGGAGGGUGGACGGCCACAUUGGGACUGAGAGACGGCCCAGACUCCUACGGGAGGCAGCAGUGGGGAAUAGUGCACAAUGGGCGGAAGCCUGAUGCAGCGACGCCGCGUGGGGGAUGACGGCCUUCGGGUUGUAAACUCCUUUCGACCGCGAGGAAGCCACCUGGUUGGAAGGGUGGUGACGGUAGUGGUAGAAGAAGCACCGGCUAACUACGUG